AGUGAGGAAUGAAACCGCAGUGACUCCAGACUCAGAUGUUCUGAAUCAAGUGACUCUCCAGCUCUCAGAUCAUUGGCUGUGGAUUCUGGUUGUUUUUAUUAGUCUAGUCCUCAUCAUCAUCUUGAUCUGUUUCUUGUGGCAGAAAAAGAAACUUGGAUGUUUUCUGAACGUCUUUGUGCGCCAUGAUUCAGAAAACAGGGUUCCUGAAUCUGAAGCUCAGAUCUGAAGAAUCUAAUUCACUGAAUCACUCUGUGUUGAACUGAAUCUCCCUUCACCGUGACGUUCAGUGCUGAGUUUAGGAGGAAAUAUGAAAAGUGAUGAAGAUCCUGACCAUCAUCUGAACAUGCAGCUGUUUAACUCUCAGAUUCAGAUUUCCGGUCUCAACGAAUCAGAAGAAUCAGUUGAUCUUGUGUUCAGAUCAGUGAAACCUCUUUAACUCUCAUUGUUUCGGCUCAUUCACACAGUUUUAAAGUGUUUAUUAAAGAUUUCACUGUGGAGGA